rnacentral:lncRNA from 1 species
GAGCCCGUUUCUCGGCGUUCCCGAGCAGUUGCAAGCGGUACCGCGGCGUCCUGAGGGAGGUUUGGCUGUAAGCAGACCUUCCCCCGUCCGCUCCGCUGUUCAAAGUGAUUAAUAGGCGUGUUACUGUAUGUCGCGUUCUUCGAAGAUCCCAAAUUAUUCUGCUGUGAAGGAACAAUAACAGUUGUUAACAUAAUUAGUAAAAGUGGCCUUAGACCACUUCCAUAGAAGGUUCCAUCUUAGGAAGCUGAUAAUUUGAGGUUCUUAAGCUUCUGGAGAAGUUUUGUCUGGUGUCUGACAGUAGAAGAACAUGCAUCCCGGCAAAAUUGGCACUCCUGUACCAUCAAGGACAAACAUGGCUCUUAUUUUUGAUAGACCUGCCACACACAACUUGGGAGAUACUACUUAAUGCUGAUUUUACCCUCCAUGGAGCUUUGCAGGUGCAAAAUGGAAAUACUUCUACUACAAUACCUCAGAGAUUACUUAAACUUCAGUGAAACAAGAAGAUGCAAUGAUAUGUACAUAUAAUACAUAGAAAAGUUUCCAAGGAAACAAACAACUUUAUAAUAAUGGCAGGAGUGCAUUUGGCUGUUCCUUCGAGUGGAGAACAUUCAGUAAUGCGGAUAACAAACAUUCCUGUCCAUAGUCCUUAAAGUAGCAUUAUUUUGACAUUUGACAAUGCUACAUUAAAGUAGCAUUAUUUUGACAUUUCAGUGGAUGAGUAUGUCUUUAAGAGCCUGUUGUCUGUGAAAUAAACUGUUAAUUAAAAAUUCA